CACUUUGCUGUCUAACCUGACAACUGUACAAUGCUUGUCAUCAAAUUUGUAUUAGGGUUGUUGCGCAACAAUUGAUGCCUGGCACCUGGACCGAGGAGACUGGCUUGGACAUUGAGGUAAUAAUUGCUGAGAUAACAAGCACGUCAGGAAAAUGUGUGUAGGGCUAUGACUGUUCAUCUUACAACCUGUUUUAUGGCACAGGGUGUUCCACAACAACUAUAUGGCAUCGACUGUGGAGUCUUUAUGGUCAUGUUGGAUAUGCCUCAUCUCAUAAGGUGGUGGUGCAAGCUCCUUUUGGACAACUACGGGAUCGAAGGAUGUGGCAAAAGAUUCUGUCAUUUCACCCAAGAAGGACACCAGAUGGUGAAUGGACUCCUGGCACCGGUGUUCCGGGUAACACGGAAGCGGAAGGUUUUGACCAAGGAGGAUAUAAAUGACUAAAAACUAAUCAUUCCUGUUUAUAAUCUAUUUUUCUCAAUAAAAAGAGGUUUAAAAAAAAAAAAUAGUAAAAAGUGUCUCCCUCUCUCUCUCUCUCUGGGCCCCCGAAAUAUUGUAGAAGGGGCCCCUGCGAGAUGUUUGGCUGCGGCCCCCCCCCCCCCCCCCCCCCCCCCCCACACACACACACACACACACAUCCGCUCUGCCUCUGGGUCCCAAUUCUGGGGGCCCUCUUCUCCGUCCCCUUAAUUUUGUACUUUUUUUUGUGUUACCUUAUACCUGCCAAUGCCUCUUGUGUUUCCCAUUUUUAAUAAUAAUUGUAUCCCUUAAUGUUAUUGCACAUAUUUUGUAUUUACUUUUUUAUUUACUUUAAAUGCUUUGUGUAAUGACCUUCCCUUUCUCUAUAAUAAAAAAAUGUAGCCUACCCUUAUGGCCUGAGUCAUGUUUCCCUUACUAAGAAUUCCCUAUCGUAUGCAUAAGUAUUGUCUGUAAACAAUACAAGUGGAAUAGGGGCGAAAAUGUACAAUUCUAAGGCUUGUAUCCUUUAAGUAACUUUACUUUGUCCCUCUGUUAAGCCAAGUAUAUGCAUUUGACAUCACAGUUAUCAGUAAAUGCAAAUUCGGUUUCUCUUCAUUACUCUUUGGUCAGCCUGACAUUUUCAGAGUAAAUUCCAAUCAAUAUUUUUGUGAAUAUUAAGAGCCAGAAUUUAAAUGACACCGCCCAUGAGCAAAAUAUUACACUAACUUUUUAACUCCACUGUUACAGUAAAUUGACUCCCUCCCGUAGCCUACAAACACCAGGCAAUAUCUGGACUUAC
rnacentral:lncRNA from 1 species